UGCGCCGGAAAAGAACUGUUCAUUGAGAAAAAUAAUUCAAAAAUUUGAAAUUUUUUCAACGUAUCAAACAUGGAAAAAAAUUUUCGACCGUUAAAGUCGAUUUCCGAACAUUUUUUCCGUGAAAAAAUUUCCGUCCGUCUGGAGAGACGGAAAUUUUUUCCGGAAUUUUAUUUUUGCCCGUUAGGGCACGCACGCGAGCGCGUCUUCGUCUUCCUCCUGCACCGUCGUCGUCUUCCUCUCCUCACGCCGAGCUUCCUCUUGCACAGCCUUCUCACACAGCGUCUAGCAGAGAAAGAAAAAGGGAGAACGAAGGGGAAAGAGGAAGAAGGGAAGAAAGGGGAAAGAGGAAGAACAAAGGGGAAAGAGCAUCGUCCGUCGCCCAGCACCUCACGCCCAGCACCGUCGUCGUCUUCCUCUCCUCACGCCCAGCAUCGUCUUUCGCCCUCUCACUCGCCUCUCCCUCCUGCCGCAAGCCCGCAGCCCGCAGCUGCCUCCUGCCUCUUUCGCCCUCUCACUCUCCUGCUCCCUCAUCCUCUCUCUCGUCCUCUGUUCUUGAUAUCUGGUUGAUGGGCAUCUGUUUUUCCCUUUGAUCGUGACUCUCCGUGAGUUAUUUUGAGUGUCUCGGAAGCUUUUGAUUUUGUUUGGUGCUCUUGAUUUUGUUUGGUGCUCUUUGCUCUGGAUUUCCUGAGAGUCGAUUCCGUGGGUUUCUUCCGUCUGUUCAAUCGGUUUCUUGUUCUAACUUGGACCGAUACUGUUGGUCUGUCUUCUGGAGUUCUGAGUGAUGGUUGCUGGCUGAAGCCACCAUUUCUACUGCUGCCACCGUUUCUACUGCUGCUGUUGGUGAAUCGGAUGCGUGGAGUUUACUUGUGUUUAUCGUUCGGAUGUUAAGUUUCUUGUAAAGAAUUUAGUAAUCCAUAUGAGCAGUUCAAGAAUAAGUUCUUCGACAUCAGUUUGUUGAAGUGGCUUUCUCUUUAUUAGUUUCCUGAUUGGUUAGUUUCGUCGUAUUCAUCAAGCUCUUGUGCAAUAAUAAAUUUCAGGGGUGGAUAAAAUUGUCAACCCCCAACAGCCUUCCUAUGAAAUUUGGUGCUUGCAAAUUUUGUGCAAUAUCAAAGGAACAACAGUUGAACA